GAUGAACGCUGGCGGCGUGCCUAAUACAUGCAAGUCGAGCGAACGGACGAGAAGCUUGCUUCUCUGAUGUUAGCGGCGGACGGGUGAGUAACACGUGGAUAACCUACCUAUAAGACUGGGAUAACUUCGGGAAACCGGAGCUAAUACCGGAUAAUAUUUUGAACCGCAUGGUUCAAAAGUGAAAGACGGUCUUGCUGUCACUUAUAGAUGGAUCCGCGCUGCAUUAGCUAGUUGGUAAGGUAACGGCUUACCAAGGCAACGAUGCAUAGCCGACCUGAGAGGGUGAUCGGCCACACUGGAACUGAGACACGGUCCAGACUCCUACGGGAGGCAGCAGUAGGGAAUCUUGCGAAAUGGGCGAAAGCCUGACGGGGCAACGCCGCGUGAGUGAUGAAGGUCUUCGGAUCGUAAAACUCUGUUAUUAGGGAAGAACAUAUGUGUAAGUAACUGUGCACAUCUUGACGGUACCUAAUCAGAAAGCCACGGCUAACUACGUG
rnacentral:rRNA from 1 species